AACGAACGCUGGCGGCAGGCCUAACACAUGCAAGUCGAGCGCGCCCUUCGGGGUGAGCGGCGGACGGGGGAGUAACGCGUGGGAACGUGCCCUUUUCUACGGAAUAGCCUCGGGAAACUGAGAGUAAUACCGUAUACGCUACUUGGGGGAAAGGUUUGUCGGAAAAGGAUCGGCCCGCGAUGGCUUAGGUGGUUGGGGGGGUAAUGGCCUAUCAAGCCGUCGAUCGAUAGCUGGUUAGCGAGGCUCGGCAGCCACACUGGGACUGGGACGCGGCCCGGAAUCCUACGGGAGGCAGCAGUGGGGAAUCUUAGCCAAUGGGGGCAAUCCUGAUCUAGCCAUGACGCGUGAGUGAUGAAGGCCGUAGGGAUGUAAAGCUCUUUCAGCUGGGGAGAUUAUGACGGUACCAGCAGAAGAAGCCCCGGCUAACUCCGUG
rnacentral:rRNA from 1 species